ACAGAAGCCAGUUAGGGUAGAACAAGUAACUGGGGCUAAGUCGUAACAAGGUAGCCGUACCGGAAGGUGCGGCUGGAUCACCUCCUUUCUGGAGC
rnacentral:rRNA from 1 species